CUCCCUGCUGCCUGGAACAACGGCCCACGCCAGGGUGUGGUUCCCGCAGCAAACAGGACGCAUGUCCCUCCCUGCUGGGAACACCGUGGGCAGGCCAGCUCGCCACACCUCAGGAGAAACACAGGGAGACAGACAGACAGACAAAAUGGAGCUGAGGAAGGCCCAGAGACAAACCGAGAAUGGCGGGGACGGAGGCCCGUACUCCAUGAAGAAAAGCUAAAAAGCGCAUCACUCUUAACCAACAGUCUGGAAAGGAAAAAGCUCAGAGGGACAUGUUGGAAAAGGGGCCAGAAUCUCAGGGCAGGUAGGGACGGAGGGGACACAGGAAGACAAGAAGUGCCCGGGCUCCCAGAAGCCCUGAUGAAAGAAAAUAAGGCUCCCAGAGCCAAAGACCCUCAUGGAGUCAGAAGAAGCCUAUCAGAGUGGAAGGGAUGGCAAGACGCUCUGAACGCUCUCCUCUCAGGCAGGUGGAUCUCAAAGGGAGGACAGGUGAUGGGACUUGUCAAGGGCAGACAUUCCAGACACUCCCUUACCUCCGCCCACAGCAUGACAGGGCAGGCCAAGGUCUUGCCCAGGGUCAGGGUCAGGCUCCAUCCCUGUCCCGCACCCACAAGCCAGCUUGCUUGAAUACGUGGGCCGGGUCUACACCUAACACCUGGGGGCUGGCUACAAAGACCACCGGUGAGCGACUCCAAAGUCCUCACCACCAUCAAGAAAGAUUCCUAGGGGACACUUGGGUGGCUCCUUCGGUUAAGUGUCCAACUUCAUCUCAUGGUUUGGGAGUUCAAGCCCAGCAUCGGGCUCUGUGCUGGCAGCACAGAGGCUGCUUGGGAUUCUCUCUCUCCCUCUCUCUGCCCUCCCCCCACUCGUACACAUACUCUCUCAAAAUAAAUAAACUUAAAAAAAAAAAAAAAGGAAUGAUUCCUGAAGAAAGCCCUUUCAUGCCGAAGGACUUCCCAAAGCAAGGAAGCACAGUGUUCAAAUCCACCCUCCAAAGACUUUCAGCCAAAGAGGGGCUCUGCAUUACCUGUAUGAACACCUCCAGGAUAUCUGGGCUCAGUGAGAAUCUACCCCGCAACUUUUUACUAAAUGGGUCACGAAUACUUAGAACUUUGUUUGUUCACACGGACUUGGGGAAAACUGACAAACAGUAUUUAAAAAACAGAAACAAAAAACCUGCUGGCGACUUACGAAGGGAAAAUGGGAGACUGGAAGGGACACCAGGCCGGUGACCCUCCAGUGCCCACUGUGCGUCCUCAGUGCCAUCUGGCCAUGCUGUGCUCUCAAACUUCUCGGAGCCCUGGGCUAACCUCUGGUCACCUGAGGGGGUGCCCUCUGAUAACACAGGAAAUUCCCAGCUUAACUUCUGUAUGAACACGGGGUCUGUCUUCCUUAUAAGGGGAAAGAACAAAAACCAAGAAAACCGAACCAGCCGGGACAGGGGCAGAAAUCCCCGGAGACCACUGACGCCGGCACAAAAGCAGGCUCCAGGAAUAGCAGCCAGGCUUCAGUGGUGCCACCUCACAGACUGCCAGCAAAGCCCAUGUCAGAGUGGGAUUAAAUACCGAGGGAGCUUGCCUAAUAGACUGUGACAUAAUCCCUCAAGAAAAGCGGGGGAAGCCCCACUGCGCUAAUCAUUUCAAUCUAGACCUGCCAAGCCCUCUUGAGACCAGUAAGCAGGAGAAAGCCUGAGGCGUCAGCCUGAGCAGGGACGACCUUAUUCCCAGAGCCCGGACUGGCAAUGUCCCAGGAUGGCCGCACCAGGGUCGGCCCACCGGGGCCAUCGGGGACAGGCAACCGACCAAGCUGGGGGACUGACUUGGAACGGGUGUCCAGGAGGGAACGGGAAGAAGCCACCGGCUUGCCGAGGGUCAGAUCUGUCUCGUGCCUCCCGCACUAAGCUUCCAAGGCAUUUAAAUUCCCACUCACAGAGCUGGUGACAGCCAGCUCCUCCCUCUCGGGACAAAGACUAGAUCUGGGUGCCCAUUCUAAGGAAUGCCUGUUUGGCCACUCCACAGGGCACAGGAGUGUGCUGAAUUCAACACACACCACGGGCUUGGCAAAAACAGCACUCAGUCAAGCAAUCCCAUGACUUCAAAGUAGGCUGGCGGGGUGGGGCACGGGGCCGCUUUCUGCAGGCCAAGUGACCAACCACCAGCUCCGCUUCUUACGCUCUUGGUACGCGUAACUUAGCGCCUUGGUUUUCUCACCUGUGGAAUGGGGUGACUGUAGUACCUACCAGGGUGGUUAAGGUUAAAUGAGAUUAAUGUGGAUAAAGCCCUUGACGUGAGAAAGGCACAAAGUACCAGACAAAAAGCAGCUACCAGAUUUAAGGAUAACCCCUAAACUGGCCGGGGUGCUCAUCAGGAAGCACUUUCUGUACGGAGAAGCUUCAGCCAACUCCCCUUGGGGGUCGCUGCUGACCGCUGGCCAACAAGUUCCCGCUACACUUGGCCGGACCGAGUACGCGCUAUCCUCUCCCGACAAACCCUGCUGACAAAACUGACAAAUCAACACGUCCCCUUCCUCUGCUCUAAUCCAGCUGGUAAGAGGAAGUAACCGAGUGGGUGACCAGGAGGGAAAGGCACAGGGAGAGCUGAGCCCCAGGAAGAAGGGACAAAGGCCCCUUAAAAAAAACAAAGCUUCCCGACAUGGAAAUUCUCUGGACAAGAGAGCUGGAAGGAAACUGAAAGGGGCCCGGGUUUGUGGAUCGAUCUGGUUUGCAAAAAAAGAGAAUGGGGUGGGGGCGAAAAAAACAAAAGGUGGACACUCAUGGGAGCAGUGGCUGUUACCUGAAGAUCAUGAGAGCCCUUGACAAGAGGCGGCUAGGUUAAUGUGAAGGUCAGGGUUAUGACCAUUAACUGCCCAAACGCUCAACAAAUUGCCUGGGUAGGCUCGGAAUGACCCAUUAACUAGGGACAAAACUACAAAAAUUACGGGGAGGCUCUGCCUCUUCAGAUGGUUAACGACAGGCCUAACUGCCGAAGUCCCCAAAUCCGACCGUGUGGGACAGUUGUUUACUGGGAGCGAAGGCACAGAGGCUUUCCCUCGCUUUCCGACGAGGUGAAGGAGCCUCGGGGGGUGGGGGGGCACCUCACUGAGGGAUUUUCAGAGGCAGGAAAUUCUUGAAAUAAACCUCUGGGCCUCGCACAUGGUUUUCAGUGUCCUUACUACCUAGGUUUAUCGACCAGAACUCAAGAGCAAAUGGGCUCUAUGUCUCCCUUCCCCUCAACAUUCUCACGUGGUGUCACAACAGACUGUGACAUCGCGCCACCUCCACGGUAACGUGCCCACGUAACAGACAACACCCCACCCGAGCAGCCAAGCGCAAACCAACCAUGGGACACGAGAAGCCCGAUCGCCAGCACCCCGAACCCCUCACUUCAACGUGAGCAGAAGAGCCGGUCCGGUGCUGAGACCCGGAUGGGAACGCACCUACAGCCAGAAGUCAAUUUCUCCAAUGGAAAUGGAGAAAUCUGCACUUGGAAUGGGAGACAAAUCAAUAAACGGGACUUCAUAUCCUGCUAACGGCUGCACACUGCAGUUUGAAAACAUCGUAUCGGCCCCAUGCCGGCAUAUAGGUACGGGGCUUGGGCCCGGGGUUCUACCUCUCCCUCCACACCCAGCUCUGUGACCUUGGACACGUGACUUCAUUUGUUUCAAAUUCUCAGCACAGGCCUGGGGCGAGCUAGCACAUGGGAAGCACUCAGCAGGAACCAGGGAGGUAAUCUUUGACCUUCACACGAGGCACUGUCACACAUUUGGGGAGACUAGCAGUCAACGACUCACAGGUCACAUACAGUCGGCCUGACCCCACGUCCACGCGGUCCACCACUCCCCACCAUCCCUCUACCAGAAGAGGAUCAAGACACGUUUAAAGGGAACAAACGGAAUCCACGCAGUACUAAGCUUUAAACUUGCAGGAGUUUAUGGUUUCUGGGGACCAUCGGACAGAGACAACAGGGACAAAGGAACCAGGUGCUCAGCUGACUGACAGAUCCACCUGGGAUCUAACCACUCAGCCUAACCUCGCUAUUCAUUUUUAAGGCACCCCCUUUGCAGUUGGGUCUCCAGAGCUGCCACAGCAGCAGCAACCCCGAUGGUGGCCAGAAGCUGCAGGUGUCAGACAUGGGAAGGAAAUUUGAGGCCGGGCAAAGGUAGGAACAAGCUUAGCUCAAAUCUAAAUAAAGUCCUGCAGAGAGAAGAGCUCCCUGCACAGCCUAAAAACUUUUCUGCUCCAAGCAAAGCACGGUACGGGCCUGACUGCUGAAUGAACAAAAACCUUUACUGACUCAGCCAAACUCCCAAGGGGCGAGGAGAAUCUUGGGAGCUGGGACGGGCCUUGCUCGUCUGU